rnacentral:rRNA from 1 species
UACGGGGGGAGCAAGCGUUGUUCGGAUUUACUGGGCGUGAAGGGCGCGUAGGCGGCCACCGCAAGUCGGUUGUGAAAUCUCUGGGCUUAACCCAGAAAGGUCAACCGAUACUGCGGGGCUAGAGUGCAGAAGGGGCAACUGGAAUUCUCGGUGUAGCGGUGAAAUGCGUAGAUAUCGAGAGGAACACCUGCGGCGAAGGCGGGUUGCUGGGCUGACACUGACGCUGAAGCGCGAAAGCUAGGGGAGCGAACGGG